UACGUAGGGUGCAAGCGUUGUCCGGAAUUAUUGGGCGUAAAGAGCUCGUAGGCGGCUUGUCGCGUCGGCUGUGAAAACUCGGGGCUCAACCCCGAGCCUGCAGUCGAUACGGGCAGGCUAGAGUCCGGCAGGGGAGACUGGAAUUCCUGGUGUAGCGGUGAAAUGCGCAGAUAUCAGGAGGAACACCGGUGGCGAAGGCGGGACUCUGGGCCGAUACUGACGCUGAGGAGCGAAAGCGUGGGGAGCAAACAGG
rnacentral:rRNA from 1 species